GUGGCGAACGGGUGAGUAAUACGUAGGUAUCUACCUCGUAGUAGGGAAUAGCCCAUCGAAAGGUGGGGUAAUACCGUAUAUACCCUAAGGGGGAAAGGCUUCGGCCGCUAUGAGAGGAACCUACGCGCUAUCAGUUUGUUGGUGGGGUAACGGCCUACCAAGACUACGACGGCUAACCGAUGUGAGAGCAUGAUCGGUUACAAGGCUACUGAGACACGGAGCCUACAUC
rnacentral:rRNA from 1 species